CAGGAAAUGCCCCAGAGCCAACAGCAUCCUUCAUUGAUACGACAAAGACCCUAUAUCAACCCCUAAGGACCAUAUGGAUCCCAUUUGAGAACCACUGAUCUCGAGUAUAGUUGAUUAUAUCAACAUUGAAAGGAUGAAAGGUAAAGAUCAAUGUGGGAAGAAUAUGAAUGCAAAAUGUAUUGGAAUGUAACCAAGUACCACAAUAUACAUAUAUACAUGUGUGGUUGUAUGAAAAACCGGAAAGGUUAUUUCCAGUUUCUGCGUGAUCAAGAAUUGGAGGGUUUAACUGAUUUCAUUUCACGGUUCAUUGAUUCUCGGUUAGAUUUGCAAACAGUAAGUUUCUCUUCUUAAUAACUGCUCACAAACACCCUAAUAUAUACUAGGGCAUCUGUUUGGGUCAUCAAUUAGUUAGUUCUUAUUCAGACAGGUUGAUUGGGGUGAAGGUGAGGACCAUACUUUUCUCAUACAUUCUAAUUUUGGCAGUUUCUUUGUUUGGAUGUCAUUUUUAACACCAACUACUUUACACAGUAUACUGGCACCAGCACAAGAGAGGUUGUCAUUUCCUCAACAGGCUAAAACUAAUACCAAACACUUUACAGAGUGUAUUGGCUGCUUUUGACGUGGCACCAUCACCAAUGCUUUUUACAUCAAUUUGUUGAAUCAAUAAAUUUAUUCCAGAUAGAGUAAUGAAGGCA